CCUGUCACCACGUUGUCGGGAGCACACAGUGAGAGCACUUUGCUAUCUAGGGAGCCACAUAUGAGAGCUAUCCUCCUCUAUGCUCACUAUGACCUCAUGGUCAAUCAUUAAUGAAGGCAACUGGAGAGAGAAGUUUAGAGCCUAAUAAAUGCUAAGAGCAACUGGCAAGUUCUUCUCUUUCUUUCUGCCCCUCCCAUCCUGGUCGUGCGUGGGAAGUGAGCACCUGCCCAGAGUGUUGUCAUUCUACCGUGGCUCCAGUCAUGGGAGGCCCCUCCCCACCAAGGCCCUCCUAAAAAUCUGGGUCUGAAGCAGACAGCUGUGAAGACACAGAGAAUGGUAGAGGAAAUGGCCAGGAGGCCACGUGAGCGAGGAAGGAGGCUCAGUAAACCGAUGGCAAAAACACUGAGCUGGGCAGGAGGUCCUGAGUUCUGAACUUGGCUCCAUCAGAGAUCUCACGGUUGUGGCGAACCAGGAUCUUCAAUGGACGGACAUGUCCGCAGCCCCUAAGUUCCCAGAUUUUGUCUGCCAGUGAUCUGAAGGAUUUGUUGGGCUCGAGCAGGAGAGAGGACAUGGACCCAGGAAUGCUGCCUAUUUUCACCUAUUUGCCCCCGUUUUACCCUCCUUUCUCCCAAUUUGAAACUGGCAAAGUGUACCACUAUAAACAGUAUAAUUAAAGGGCCACCUAGACCAGUGAGUCCCAAUUUUACCAAUCCUGGGAGUGGGGAGGAUGCUUUAGAAUUAGUGUAAAGAGGAGGUGCCUGGGUGGCUCAGUCAGUUGAGUGUCCGACUUCGGCUCGGGUCAUGAUCUCACAGUUCAUGAGUUCGAGCCCCAUGUCAGGCUCUGUGCUGACAGCUCAGGGCCUGGAGCCUGCUUCAGAUUCUGUGUGUGUGUGUGUGUGUGUGUGUGUGUGUCUCUCUGCUCCUUCCCUGCUCACACACUGUAUCUCUCUGUCUCAAAAAUAAA